UACGUAGGGCGCAAGCGUUGUCCGGAAUUAUUGGGCGUAAAGAGCUCGUAGGCGGUCUGUUGCGUCUGCCGUGAAAACCCGAGGCUUAACCUCGGGCCUGCGGUGGAUACGGGCAGACUAGAGGUAGGUAGGGGAGAAUGGAAUUCCCGGUGUAGCGGUGAAAUGCGCAGAUAUCAGGAGGAACACCAAUGGCGAAGGCAGCACUCUGGGACGUGACUGACGCUGAGACGCGAAAGCGUGGGGAGCAAAACAGG
rnacentral:rRNA from 1 species